rnacentral:rRNA from 1 species
GACGUAGGGCGCGAGCGUUGUCCGGAUUUAUUGGGCGUAAAGAGCUUGUAGGCGGUGUGUCACGUCGGCCGUGAAAACCUGCAGCUUAACUGUGGGCGUGCGGUCGAUACGGGCAUCACUGGAGUUCGGCAGGGGAGACUGGAAUUCCUGGUGUAGCGGUGAAAUGCGCAGAUAUCAGGAGGAACACCGGUGGCGAAGGCGGGUCUCUGGGCCGAUACUGACGCUGAGGAGCGAAAGCGUGGGGAGCAAACAGG